CGCAUGAUUUGAGAUCGAGGUCAAGGUUAAAUGUUAGUGGAUCCUUUUCCAAGAAAAAAAAACCCAGACAAUCUUCUUUUAAACUAGAAGACAGCUAAAGUGGACAGCUAUAACACAGCAGAAAUACGAGGAAAGCGCAAACAGGGACGUCAUCGUAUAAUUUGGUGCCACACUUUCACCUCUGAGCAGUGGAAACCAGGUGGGAAGAGGCUUCAGACACUGCCAGUGACAGAUCUUUGUGGAGACAGCUUGCCACCCAAUGCACCGAACGGCGCGAGAGGAUCUAAGUCUAAGUAACCAAGUUCAUCUUUAGAUAGCUGGAUGCCUCACUAAGACAAGUGUUGCUUUGAUCAUCGGAACAUUGGUUGAGAUCAGAAAAGAGUUCAGUGUCACGUGUUGUUUCUCUGUCGUUACCAUCUCUGUCGCAGGUUCCACUG